AGCGUACACGGUGGAUGCCCUGGCAGUCAGAGGCGAUGAAGGACGUGCUAAUCUGCGAUAAGCGUCGGUAAGGUGAUAUGAACCGUUAUAACCGGCGAUUUCCGAAUGGGGAAACCCAGUGUGAUUCGUCACACUAUCAUUAACUGAAUCCAUAGGUUAAUGAGGCGAACCGGGGGAACUGAAACAUCUAAGUACCCCGAGGAAAAGAAAUCAACCGAGAUUCCCCCAGUAGCGGCGAGCGAACGGGGAGGAGCCCAGAGCCUGAAUCAGUGUGUGUGUUAGUGGAAGCGUCUGGAAAGGCGCGCGAUACAGGGUGACAGCCCCGUACACAAAAAUGCACAUGCUGUGAGCUCGAUGAGUAGGGCGGGACACGUGGUAUCCUGUCUGAAUAUGGGGGGACCAUCCUCCAAGGCUAAAUACUCCUGACUGACCGAUAGUGAACCAGUACCGUGAGGGAAAGGCGAAAAGAACCCCGGCGAGGGGAGUGAAAAAGAACCUGAAACCGUGUACGUACAAGCAGUGGGAGCCUCUUUAUGGGGUGACUGCGUACCUUUUGUAUAAUGGGUCAGCGACUUAUAUUCUGUAGCAAGGUUAACCGAAUAGGGGAGCCGAAGGGAAACCGAGUCUUAACUGGGCGUUAAGUUGCAGGGUAUAGACCCGAAACCCGGUGAUCUAGCCAUGGGCAGGUUGAAGGUUGGGUAACACUAACUGGAGGACCGAACCGACUAAUGUUGAAAAAUUAGCGGAUGACUUGUGGCUGGGGGUGAAAGGCCAAUCAAACCGGGAGAUAGCUGGUUCUCCCCGAAAGCUAUUUAGGUAGCGCCUCGUGAAUUCAUCUCCGGGGGUAGAGCACUGUUUCGGCAAGGGGGUCAUCCCGACUUACCAACCCGAUGCAAACUGCGAAUACCGGAGAAUGUUAUCACGGGAGACACACGGCGGGUGCUAACGUCCGUCGUGAAGAGGGAAACAACCCAGACCGCCAGCUAAGGUCCCAAAGUCAUGGUUAAGUGGGAAACGAUGUGGGAAGGCCCAGACAGCCAGGAUGUUGGCUUAGAAGCAGCCAUCAUUUAAAGAAAGCGUAAUAGCUCACUGGUCGAGUCGGCCUGCGCGGAAGAUGUAACGGGGCUAAACCAUGCACCGAAGCUGCGGCAGCGACACUAUGUGUUGUUGGGUAGGGGAGCGUUCUGUAAGCCUGUGAAGGUGUACUGUGAGGUAUGCUGGAGGUAUCAGAAGUGCGAAUGCUGACAUAAGUAACGAUAAAGCGGGUGAAAAGCCCGCUCGCCGGAAGACCAAGGGUUCCUGUCCAACGUUAAUCGGGGCAGGGUGAGUCGACCCCUAAGGCGAGGCCGAAAGGCGUAGUCGAUGGGAAACAGGUUAAUAUUCCUGUACUUGGUGUUACUGCGAAGGGGGGACGGAGAAGGCUAUGUUGGCCGGGCGACGGUUGUCCCGGUUUAAGCGUGUAGGCUGGUUUUCCAGGCAAAUCCGGAAAAUCAAGGCUGAGGCGUGAUGACGAGGCACUACGGUGCUGAAGCAACAAAUGCCCUGCUUCCAGGAAAAGCCUCUAAGCAUCAGGUAACAUCAAAUCGUACCCCAAACCGACACAGGUGGUCAGGUAGAGAAUACCAAGGCGCUUGAGAGAACUCGGGUGAAGGAACUAGGCAAAAUGGUGCCGUAACUUCGGGAGAAGGCACGCUGAUAUGUAGGUGAAGUCCCUCGCGGAUGGAGCUGAAAUCAGUCGAAGAUACCAGCUGGCUGCAACUGUUUAUUAAAAACACAGCACUGUGCAAACACGAAAGUGGACGUAUACGGUGUGACGCCUGCCCGGUGCCGGAAGGUUAAUUGAUGGGGUCAGCGCAAGCGAAGCUCUUGAUCGAAGCCCCGGUAAACGGCGGCCGUAACUAUAACGGUCCUAAGGUAGCGAAAUUCCUUGUCGGGUAAGUUCCGACCUGCACGAAUGGCGUAAUGAUGGCCAGGCUGUCUCCACCCGAGACUCAGUGAAAUUGAACUCGCUGUGAAGAUGCAGUGUACCCGCGGCAAGACGGAAAGACCCCGUGAACCUUUACUAUAGCUUGACACUGAACAUUGAGCCUUGAUGUGUAGGAUAGGUGGGAGGCUUUGAAGUGUGGACGCCAGUCUGCAUGGAGCCGACCUUGAAAUACCACCCUUUAAUGUUUGAUGUUCUAACGUUGACCCGUAAUCCGGGUUGCGGACAGUGUCUGGUGGGUAGUUUGACUGGGGCGGUCUCCUCCUAAAGAGUAACGGAGGAGCACGAAGGUUGGCUAAUCCUGGUCGGACAUCAGGAGGUUAGUGCAAUGGCAUAAGCCAGCUUGACUGCGAGCGUGACGGCGCGAGCAGGUGCGAAAGCAGGUCAUAGUGAUCCGGUGGUUCUGAAUGGAAGGGCCAUCGCUCAACGGAUAAAAGGUACUCCGGGGAUAACAGGCUGAUACCGCCCAAGAGUUCAUAUCGACGGCGGUGUUUGGCACCUCGAUGUCGGCUCAUCACAUCCUGGGGCUGAAGUAGGUCCCAAGGGUAUGGCUGUUCGCCAUUUAAAGUGGUACGCGAGCUGGGUUUAGAACGUCGUGAGACAGUUCGGUCCCUAUCUGCCGUGGGCGCUGGAGAACUGAGGGGGGCUGCUCCUAGUACGAGAGGACCGGAGUGGACGCAUCACUGGUGUUCGGGUUGUCAUGCCAAUGGCACUGCCCGGUAGCUAAAUGCGGAAGAGAUAAGUGCUGAAAGCAUCUAAGCACGAAACUUGCCCCGAGAUGAGUUCUCCCUGACUCCUUGA
rnacentral:rRNA from 1 species